UUGCAGCUGCUCAAAUAAUCCACUAACCUCUUCUGACAAUCUUUGAAUGAUCUCUGCAGUUUCUGAACCGUUACUAAAUGAGUAGUUCAAUUGGAAAGAAGCUCUAGGUAUUUUUCUGACUGUGGCAUCAAUCUCUUCACUAAGAAGUGUGUUUUCUCAUUUUUGUAGGGUCAGCAGUCCAUCCUGAUCAAACCGCUCCAAAAACUGGAUACCAACAGUGCCCUCAGCAAACUUCAGGCUGGGAGCUUCUUAAUUCAUAGGCCCCUGGGAAUUAAGCGUUUCCUCCAGUAGUCUGAUAGAGCAACAUAAUUCAAGUUCAUGAUCCUUCUCCAUCAGGUGUCUCAAAGUCAUCAUCAUCUUCAAAGGGCAAAUAACAAGGAUUUUAAUAAAGAAGAAGCAAAACAACAGGAACAAACACGAGAACUAACAACGAACUUCAGAAUGUGAGAAGCUAACAAAGACUAGGGAGCAAAAGACAAGUGACAGGCAAGCAAAGCAAACACUAGAACCAAGCAAAGAACUAACAAGCACAAGGAACUAAAAUACAAAGAAGCACAGAAGCACACAGAAGAACUUUAACUUCUGUACCAUCUGAACCCAUGUAAACACACAGUAGGCUAGGAAUCUGGUUUCUCUCUGGUUGCAUUGAGUUCUUCCUGUAGUUGUGCUAUUUUAUGAUGGAUUGUUUUGCUAGAUGAUAUAAGAUCUUCCUUGUCUUCUCCUGUUGACAUUACUGCUCAUCAGCUGGACCCAUCAGAGUGUGUACUAAAGACUACACCUUAAAAUAUUAAGCUUCUUUGCAAUUUCUGGCUGGGAAUAACCUUCUUGCCACAAUACGUUAACUUGGCCCCAUUAUGCCUAACUCCUUUGCCAUGGAACCCAGUGCACGGCCCCAGCUCAAGCCUGGCUUACAGUCCCCAGCUCCUAGCUCCCAGCAGCUCGAACUUGGAGCUCCGAGCUUGC